rnacentral:lncRNA from 1 species
CGCCGGGCUCCGGGGUGCACUUGCGCAGUUUCACCCGAGGCUGGAGUGACGCCAACCUGUUAAUGUUCGUUUUCGGAUUCUGGACUUCGGGUUCCGCUGAGGACGGAUUUCGGAAUAGGCACAGAGGCUGUCCCGAACCCCUCAAGGCGGCCUCCGCCGGCUGUGGCUGAAGAUAAUUUUCGGCGGGCGCGGACUAACCCGGCUUCCCUUUGUGGAGUUGUGGUGAGAAAGGUGUUUUGUUGUGCGCGUGUCCGAAGGUGACUCCGGAGGAGAAGGUGGAUAUGAACUGACGGACCUUUUAUCUCUAAGCCAGAUGUGAUUUCCCCAUUGAAGAAAAGGAGAUAGCCGUGAAUGUGUGGAGAGUAAUGUGUUAAGGUGGCUCAAAGAAGAGGGAAGCCAUUGCAGAUAAAUGCUCAGCUGAUAUGAAGAGUCAAAACUUCAAGAGUUUUUUGUUAUUGUUUUUUUGAGGCAUGGUCUCACUCCAACGCUCAGGUUGGAGUGCAUUGGCACAAUCACGGCUCACUACAGCCUCAACCUCCUUGGGCUCAGGUGAUCCUCCCAUCUCAGCCUCCCAAGUAGCUAGGACUACAGGUGCACCACCACACCCAGCUAAUUUUUUGUAUUUUUAGUAGAUACGGGGUUUCACCAUAUUGCCCAGGCUGGUCUCAAACUCCUGGGCUCAAGUGUUCC